rnacentral:misc_RNA from 1 species
GCAAGUCUGCAAUAUUUCAUAAGAGAACAACACUACGCUAUACAACUACAGAUGUAUGUUUUAUUCAAAAAUAUUGUAGGAAGGCAACCUAUAACUGCCAACAAAAAGUUCCAUGCAAUCCAAUCAUAUUGUAACUGUAUCCAUCUACUAAAACUGCCACCAAUUGUAUACCCCUACUUACCAGCAAAAGCUGCUGCACAGUUCAACUCGAUCAGUUGCAGAAUUACCUGGUUUUUCUCCCCAACUAACAAUGAUACUUUAAAAAGCCAUCUGG